rnacentral:rRNA from 1 species
AUUGAACGCUGGCGGAAUGCUUUACACAUGCAAGUCGAACGGCAGCACGGACUUCGGUCUGGUGGCGAGUGGCGAGCGGGUGAGUAAUGUAUCGGAACGUGCCCAGUCGUGGGGGAUAACGUAGUGAAAAUUACGCUAAUACCGCAUACGAUCUAUGGAUGAAAGCGGGGGAUCGCAAGACCUCGCGCGAUUGGAGCGGCCGAUAUCAGAUUAGGUAGUUGGUGGGGUAAAGGCCCACCAAGCCAACGAUCUGUAGCUGGUCUGAGAGGACGACCAGCCACACUGGAACUGAGACACGGUCCAGACUCCUACGGGAGGCAGCAGUGGGGAAUUUUGGACAAUGGGCGAAAGCCUGAUCCAGCCAUUCCGCGUGCAGGAUGAAGGCCCUCGGGUUGUAAACUGCUUUUGUACAGAAUGAAAAGGUUUCUACUAAUACUAGGAGCUCAUGACGGUACUGUAAGAAUAAGCACCGGCUAACUACGUGCCAGCAGCCGCGGUAA